UCUCCGUUGGUAACCAGCGGAGGGAUCAUUA
rnacentral:rRNA from 1 species